rnacentral:rRNA from 1 species
AAAAAUUAGAGUGUCAAAGCAGGCUUUGCUCGAAUACAUUAGCAUGGAAUAAUAGAAUAGGACGUGUGGUUCUAUUUUGUUGGUUUCUAGGACCGCCGUAAUGAUUAAUAGGGAUAGUCGGGGGCAUCAGUAUUCAAGCGUCAGAGGUGAAAUUCUUGGAUUGCUUGAAGACUAACUACUGCGAAAGCAUUUGCCAAGGAUGUUUUCAUUAAUCAGUGAACGAAAGUUAGGGGAUCGAAGACGAUCAGAUACCGUCGUAGUCUUAACCAUAAACUAUGCCGACUAGGGAUCGGGCGGUGUUAGUAUUUUGACCCG